rnacentral:rRNA from 1 species
GAUGAACGCUGGCGGCGUGCCUAAUACAUGCAAGUCGAGCGAACAGACGAGGAGCUUGCUCCUCUGACGUUAGCGGCGGACGGGUGAGUAACACGUGGAUAACCUACCUAUAAGACUGGGAUAACUUCGGGAAACCGGAGCUAAUACCGGAUAAUAUAUUGAACCGCAUGGUUCAAUAGUGAAAGACGGUUUUGCUGUCACUUAUAGAUGGAUCCGCGCCGCAUUAGCUAGUUGGUAAGGUAACGGCUUACCAAGGCGACGAUGCGUAGCCGACCUGAGAGGGUGAUCGGCCACACUGGAACUGAGACACGGUCCAGACUCCUACGGGAGGCAGCAGUAGAGAAUCUUCCGCAAUGGGCGAAAGCCUGACGGAGCAACGCCGCGUGAGUGAUGAAGGUCUUCGGAUCGUAAAACUCUGUUAUUAGGGAAGAACAAAUGUGUAAGUAACUAUGCACGUCUUGACGGUACCUAAUCAGAAAGCCACGGCUAACUACGUG